UGGUCUUUUUCUGGUCCAGGCUUUCC
rnacentral:piRNA from 1 species